AGUGAACGCUGGCGGCAGGCCUAAUACAUGCAAGUCGAACGGCAGCACAGUGGAGCUUGCUCCAUGGGUGGCGAGUGGCGGACGGGUGAGGAAUACAUGGGAAUCUGCCCAGUCGUGGGGGAUAACGUAUGGAAACGUACGCUAAUACCGCAUGCGCCCUUCGGGGGAAAGUCGGGGACCGCAAGGCCUGACGCGAUUGGAUGAGCCCAUGUUCGAUUAGCUAGUUGGCGGGGUAACGGCCCACCAAGGCGACGAUCGAUAGCUGGUCUGAGAGGAUGAUCAGCCACACUGGAACUGAGACACGGUCCAGACUCCUACGGGAGGCAGCAGUAGGGAAUCUUAGGCAAUGGACGAAAGUCUGACCUAGCGACGCCGCGUGAGGGAAGAAGGCCUUCGGGUUGUAAACCUCUGUCAUGGGGAAGAAGGAAGUGACGGUACCCCAAGAGGAAGCCCCUGCUAACUACGUGCCAGCAGCCGCGGUAAGGCUACGUAGA
rnacentral:rRNA from 1 species